rnacentral:lncRNA from 1 species
GUCUAGCAAGCAAACACACACUUCAGAGAGACUGCCGUGCCCUGCCCAGGGGGCCUCUGAAGAACGAGCAACAUACGUCACUAUUGACAUACAACCAGCCUCUAACAUAGGGGAGGGCAAAGGAUAAGGCCGGGCUCUCUCUUCCGGAGUGUACAGUUCAGUGAUUUGUGAAGCAGAAACAAUGACCUCAAUACGAGAGAGAGGUAAGAGCACAGGCUAAGGUGACAUGGUUUGUUGUGGACUUUGGCAGCACUCGCCGAACAGUACGGACUAAAGGGCUGCAGUUUAAGACCCCUAUACAAAUGGAAACGAUCGCCGAGUGCACCCAGCCAAUAGGCUUCGACUUCCUGUUUUUGAGACUGUCAAUCAAAGUGAAUGCGGAACUGUGCACGGAAACAAGGCCGCGCAUCACACCAACAAACAGGUUCAGACAGCCCAGCUUUGGUGUGGUAAAGGAUAUCCUGAGCGAACUGUUCCACGUUGGAAAAUUCAAUCAGGAGGUUUGUAAGGCAUGACAAAGGUUAAGGAUCAGGGUUUCCACUUUCCCAACAUUUAUAUCUCACAUGUUAGGGAUGUGGUCAGGGUCAGCACACUCCAUCACACUGACCCAGGAUAAACUAUCCAGAUUUAUGGAACACAAUUUUCCAUGAUCGCGGAAAACAGACGGAAAAUGCAGAACUCACGCAAUCAUCUGAACCAUUUUUUUUUUCUCUCCUCUUUAUUCAAAAUAUGGCCCCAACAUGACACGGAAGUACCUCACAUGCGUGUUUUGGGACAAUAUCACUCAUUUACACGCUAUUUUUCCACAAAAAAACAAGGGACUGAAUGUCUAACAAAUGUGAUUAAUUAAUUUAACUGUCAAAUUUCGCUCAUACACUUGUUUAAAAUCUAAUGGUA